UACGAAGGGGGCUAGCGUUGCUCGGAUUGACUGGGCGUAAAGGGUGCGUAGGCGGGUCUUUAAGUCAGGGGUGAAAUCCUGGAGCUCAACUCCAGAACUGCCUUUGAUACUGAGAAGCUUGAGUCCGGGAGAGGUGAGUGGAACUGCGAGUGUAGAGGUGAAAUUCGUAGAUAUUCGCAAGAACACCAGUGGCGAAGGCGGCUCACUGGCCCGGUACUGACGCUGAGGUGCGAAAGCGUGGGGAGCAAACAGG
rnacentral:rRNA from 1 species